rnacentral:lncRNA from 1 species
CACUUUUGGGGGCUCCCGGGCGCGGUGCCGAGCGGUGAGGAGCAGUGAGGGGCUCAUGUGCUCUCUUGUCUCUUGCAGCUGCCUUGGGCCCUGUGUCUGGAAUAAGGAAGCUUUGCUGUUUCUGACUGGAGAGAAGAAAGAUAAGACUCCUCUGGAUUUCCGAGCACAUGCGAUCCGGACCUCUCGAUGUGACCAAGUGAACUGAAAGGGGAAUCUCGAGGAGUUUCAUCCUUUCCCUCCUCCAGUCGAGGCAGCCUUGCUGUGAGCUUUCAUACGCAGGCGAGACUACAGCAGCACAACAGUGCCACCCAGGCCUGGUGACAUGUGUUCAUGUGACGGCAAGACGUUGGCACCUGAGUGACCCCGGGGAACAGCCGCACCUCUGGGUGAGUGACGCUCACUGGUCACAUGACACAAUGUCGAUUGUGA